rnacentral:rRNA from 1 species
GGGAAUAUUGGACAAUGGGCGCAAGCCUGAUCCAGCCAUGCCGCGUGUGUGAAGAAGGCCUUCGGGUUGUAAAGCACUUUUGUACGGGAAGAAACCUUCCGGGCUAAUACCCCGGGAGAAUGACGGUACCGAAAGAAUAAGCACCGGCUUACUUCGUUCCAGCAGCCGCGGUAAUACGAAGGGUGCAAGCGUUACUCGGAAUUACUGGGCGUAAAGCGUGCGUAGGUGGUUCGUUAAGUCUGCCGUGAAAGCCCCGGGCUCAACCUGGGAAUUGCGGUGGAUACUGGCGGACUAGAGUGCGGUAGAGGGUGGUGGAAUUCCCGGUGUAGCAGUGAAAUGCGUAGAGAUCGGGAGGAACAUCUGUGGCGAAGGCGGCCACCUGGACCAGCACUGACACUGAGGCACGAAAGCGUGGGGAGCAAAC